GAUGAACGCUGGCGGCGUGCCUAAUACAUGCGAGUCGAACGCUUCACUUCGGUGAAGAGUGGCGAACGGGUGAGUAAUACAUAAGUAACCUGGCAUCUACAGGGGGAUAACUGAUGGAAACGUCAGCUAAGACCGCAUAGGUGUAGAGAUCGCAUGAACUCUAUAUGAAAAGUGCUACGGGACUGGUAGAUGAUGGACUUAUGGCGCAUUAGCUUGUUGGUAGGGUAACGGCCUACCAAGGCGACGAUGCGUAGCCGACCUGAGAGGGUGACCGGCCACACUGGGACUGAGACACGGCCCAGACUCCUACGGGAGGCAGCAGUAGGGAAUUUUCGGCAAUGGGGGAAACCCUGACCGAGCAACGCCGCGUGAAGGAAGAAGUAAUUCGUUAUGUAAACUUCUGUCAUAGAGGAAGAACGGUGGAUAUAGGGAAUGAUAUCCAAGUGACGGUACUCUAUAAGAAAGCCACGGCUAACUACGUG
rnacentral:rRNA from 1 species